rnacentral:rRNA from 1 species
AUUGAACGCUGGCGGCAUGCCUUACACAUGCAAGUCGAACGGCAGCACGGGAGCAAUCCUGGUGGCGAGUGGCGAACGGGUGAGUAAUAUAUCGGAACGUGCCCAGUAGUGGGGGAUAACUGCUCGAAAGAGCAGCUAAUACCGCAUACGACCUGAGGGUGAAAGGGGGGGAUCGCAAGACCUCUCGCUAUUGGAGCGGCCGAUAUCAGAUUAGCUAGUUGGUGGGGUAAAGGCCUACCAAGGCAACGAUCUGUAGUUGGUCUGAGAGGACGACCAGCCACACUGGGACUGAUACACGGCCCAGACUCCUACGGGAGGUAGCAGUGGGGAAUUUUGGGCAAUGGGCGCAAGCCUGAUCCAGCAAUGCCGCGUGCAGGAAGAAGGCCUUCGGGUUGUAAACUGCUUUUGUCAGGGAAGAAAUCCUCUAGGUUAAUACCCUUGGGGGGAUGACGGUACCUGAAGAAUAAGCACCGGCUAACUGCGUGCCAGCCGCCGCGGUAAGAC